rnacentral:rRNA from 1 species
UACGUAGGGGCCUAGCGUUGUCCGGAUUUAUUGGGCGUAAAGAGCUCGUAGGCGGUUCAGCAAGUCGGGUGUGAAAACUCUGGGCUCAACCCAGAGACGCCACCCGAUACUGCUGUGACUAGAGUCCGGUAGGGGAGUGGGGAAUUCCUGGUGUAGCGGUGAAAUGCGCAGAUAUCAGGAGGAACACCGGUGGCGAAGGCGCCACUCUGGGCCGGCACUGACGCUGAGACGCGAAAGCCAGGGGAGCAAACGGG